rnacentral:rRNA from 1 species
UACGGAGGGUGCGAGCGUUGUUCGGAAUCACUGGGCGUAAAGGGCGUGUAGGCGGUCCGCUAAGUCUGAUGUGAAAGCCCGGGGCUCACCCCCGGAAGGGCAUUGGAAACUGACGGACUCGAGUCCCGAAGAGGAGAGUGGAAUUCCUGGUGUAGCGGUGAAAUGCGUAGAUAUUGGGAAGAACACCUGAGGCGAAGGCGGGUUGCUGGGCCGACACUGACGCUGAUGCGCGAAAGCCAGGGGAGCGAACGGG